rnacentral:lncRNA from 1 species
GUGAUCUCCUGAUGUCCUGGAACUGGCAACAGAAAAUUACAUCAAAUGCCAAGGAAACAGCAUGAAGUAAGCAUGACAAGUUCACUUGGAGCAUCGCAACACUGAUCAUCAUAAUGGAGAGUUCUCAACAAUUGAACCAGAAACAUAGGAAAUGAAUGAAAAUGCACCAGAUAUGAUAUUGAUUUUACAGCAUCAACAAGAGUCGACUUCAGAGAAUACCCUCUAGUUAUUAAGUAAUACAGAAGACACACUUUCUACAAAGU